AUUUGCUACAAGUCUCAAGAUAAAGCUUGGAUCAGUACCGACUGUCCGUGACCCAACUUUGAACUUGGGAGCUCACAUCAAGUGCAUCUAUACAGCUUCCUGCAACAAGGGAUGUUGCAUGCCAGACUGACCCACUGUAGGCACACACUUAUCCUUGAAGACUCUUCAGCCUCACAUCAGAAGUACAGGUCUGUAGCCAUCUGAAGUGCAUCUACUUUUGAUAAACCUAACAGUCAUUUAUCAGUCUUGGAAUAAUGUGCAGGUAAAUGAAGCUGUGGUUACUUAGAACUUGUGAGAGUGUGUAGGCUAAGGUUUCUGUCAACAUUAACAUCUUUGAUUUUCUCUUUACUGUACCUCCAGACUCUACCUGGCUGCCACGUAAUACAAUGAAAAUGCUGACCGACCACAAGCCCAAACAAAAGAAGGUGAACCACUGUUCAAGGUCCAAUUUCCAAAGGGAAUGUGGUGGACCUCAUAUUUGAAAAAGUCUUUGUUGACCUGGGACCAUACACAGAAGCUGCUUUGGCCGUUCCCAUCCCAGAGGACCUCACUGCACAGUUCGAGCGGCCUGAGAAGGAGGAGGUCAUAUCCAGCUAUGUGUCCCGGUUCUAUCAUGGGGCAGUCUAAAACCCACGUACUGGGGCAUGUGGCGUCAGGAAACUCGGCAUGGAUGCGCAGGACCACGCAGGCUGGAAUGAUGACCCGGAUUCUGCGACCAAGGAAGCCCCAGCACCAGCUCACAAAGCUCCUAUAAGCUAGAUACCUGUACUGACUAAAACAACUGGA